CAGUAGCCACGGUAAUACGGAGGGUGCAAGCGUUAAUCGGAAUUACUGGGCGUAAAGCGCACGCAGGCGGUCUGUCAAGUCGGAUGUGAAAUCCCCGGGCUCAACCUGGGAACUGCAUUCGAAACUGGCAGGCUAGAGUCUUGUAGAGGGGGGUAGAAUUCCAGGUGUAGCGGUGAAAUGCGUAGAGAUCUGGAGGAAUACCGGUGGCGAAGGCGGCCCCCUGGACAAAGACUGACGCUCAGGUGCGAAAGCGUGGGGAGCAAACAGGAUUAGAUACCCCUGUAGUCCCUGUCUCUUAUAC
rnacentral:rRNA from 1 species